AAUGAACGCUGGCGGCAGGCCUAAAACAUGCAAGUCGAACGCUGUAGCAAUACAGAGUGGCGCACGGGUGAGUAACACGUGGGAAUGUGCCUUUUGGUACGGAACAACUUUUGGAAACGAAAGCUAAUACCGUAUGGUCCCUUCGGGGUAAAGAUUAUCGCCAAAAGAGCAGCCCGCGUCUGAUUAGCUAGGUGGUGAGGUAAUGGCUCACCAAGGCGACGAUCAGUAGCUGGUCUGAGAGGGCGAUCAGCCACACUGGGACUGAGACACGGCCCAGACUCCUACGGGAGGCAGCAGUUAGGAAUAUUGGGCAAUGGGCGCAAGCUUGAUCCGGCCAUGCCGCGUGAGUGAUGAAGGCCUUCGGGUUGUAAAGCUCUUUAGCCGAUGAAUAUGAUGACUGUAGUCGGAAAAUAAGCCCCGGCUAACUUCGUGCCAGCCGCCGCAGUAA
rnacentral:rRNA from 1 species